AAAAGAGAGAAGAAACCGACGCGAACAUCUCUCCUCCUCUGCUUCUCCCUCUCGGCAACCGGCGGGCUCGGAGUCGCACUCAUCGCCUUCUCAAUCGGCGCCGGCCUCUAUACCUGCUGCCAUAUAUCUAGAUAUAAAGUCUAUUUUGAGCAAGGAAAAAAGAUACAGUUUUGCUCUUUGAAAAACAUUUGAUACCUUGCUCUGUCCCCGUGGAUCCCCGAGGAAGAGGGGCUCUUCCAACAACCGGAGUGCCACCAAGAGUCGACAUCAUCAACGUCUCCAUUAGAAGCCGGAGAGUAUGAUCCAAGCAAACCGAGCCGCUAAAGAGACAGAGAGCUUAAGUGGAGAUGGGGAGGAGCAAAGUGUUGAGCGAGACGAAGAGGAGG